AUCUCUAGACUACAGACAGUUCUAUUUUUUUUUUUUUCAAGUCCUUCUUUUGUUUGUAUUUGUCACUUGUGAGAAGCCAAGGUAUCAUACUUCUUUUGGUCUCAUCAACGCUGGAGUUAGGCCUGAGCUGAGACUUUCAGCCACUGCCCCCGAGGAGCUGCACAGGCCGGGCUGGGCUUUCAAGCAGGCAUCUUAUUGGAGGGGGAAUUCUUUCCAUUUGCGAUGCGAGGCUCGGGGCCCAGGGCUCAUCCUGUCUAGUUUUCAAGGCUCAGGUUGGUCCAGGAAGCCCUCAGGGAUUGCCACAGCCACCCUCACCCGAGCACAUGCCUGUCCUGUGCCCACAGAGGGGCUGCCCUCAGCCUGGCCUGGCCUCCCUGCCCCUCUGUCUUGUUCUCCAGAACUGAGGUCACACUCCCCCUCCUCCUGGAACCUUCUGUGGACACCCGCCCCCUAAGACUGUGUCUAGGGCCCUGUCCCUCACCUUUUCCGACCUGCUUUGUUGCAGGGACCCUGGUAAUCACUGACACCUGUGUCCCCCACUGGCUGGGGCCUCUUCAGCAGCAGGGCCUGGCCUCCCCCGCCAUCCCCCACCCACGGCAUCUCGGAAGAAUGGCCACCGUGCAGCAAAGUCUCUGCUGCGGUCACGUCUGACCGGCGGGCUCAGGUCAGUGGUCGACUGCCUUCUGGCUGUGCCAUGUGUGGGUCUCCUUUCCCAGCCCCGUCCCAGGGACUCAGAAGCAGUUCGAGGAUCGUUGGUCUCCCCCAACCCCCCUCCGCCUUCGGCCCAGAGCUGGGUACCAGGAGAUCAAUUCCUAGACUGAACUGUAUGGAGUCUGGAAACACAUGCCUUCACCUCUGCUUUUUUAUAUUCUUUUUUUCAAAAUCUGCUUUUAGCCUAGCUUCGGGCCUCAGGUAAAUCCUGCCAGAUUUCUCCUGAUCAGAGCCUGCUGUCUCAUGUUUAAACUCAACAGGAGACCCGGGAAAUGAAUUGUUUGCUCCUAAUUCACUCACGAAGUGAUGCGAUAAUUAUGUCUCGGCGUCCCCAGCGACAGUGGCGUGUUUGCGGGCUGCAGGCACGGGGCGGUGAGCGCAGGUGGGCUCAGGGCUGCCUCUGCUGAGCGGUAAAGGGGCAGAUACCUUAAAUACGUUCGGUCCGAGGAUUUGAUUUGUCACCGGCCAGGGCUGGAAAGGGCCUUUGUCGUCCAGCCUUCUCUCUCCUAGUAGAUUUCCUGGAAAACAGCGCGGCGAGCCCCCCGGAACCCCUGUGCAGGGGCGGGGCCGCAAACCUCCCUUCUGAGCCCCGCCCCCUGUUCUCGCGCCCACCCCUGCACCUGCCGCCCGCGCAGGGCUCUCCCGCCGCGGUGACACCGGCAGUUGGUUUCCUUCGAUGUGGAUGCUUGGGCGUGUUUCCCUGUGAGCCUUCUAGAACAAGGGACGGUCCUGAGAGCCUCGGCAGGUUAGAUGCUGCCGGGAGAGCCAGACCCUCCGUGGCCUCGAGGAGCCGCAGGGGCAGGCAGCCAGCUGACCUGCACAUCUGGGAAGCUGGCUCCUCAAGGGGCGGUGGGGGGCGGCGGUGGGUAAUGCCAAGGGUAGUGUCGCCUGCUCUGCGGCUCACAGCCUUGCUGUCCCUCUGAGCGCCGUGUAUGGGUCAACCUUAGUUUCGCAGCCCAGGGGAGCUGGCACUUGGAGGGGCUGCCUGCUGCGCCUGGCCCAAGGAGAGGGGGCAGCCCUGCCCAUCUGCUCUGCCACGUGCCUCUGCUCUCUGCGAAGGGCCGAGGACUCCACUUCCGGGGUCCUGCUCCAUCCCUGCUCGGGUUCCCUAGAUGGGUGCUGGGGGCUUGCUUUCAGCGUGUGGAGUCUCACAGAGGGCGAGGGCCUCACUCAUCAGUCCCUUUAUCCCCACACCCACCUCUCAGGGCCUGGUAGGAGUAGCUCCCAGACCGCUUCCACCAUCCAUUUCCAACCAGCGAUGCUGGGGUUUUAUUUUAUCUUUUUACACGACCUGCAGCAGGAGUCUGCCCUCCUUGUUUCACCCUCACAAAGGUGUCCGCAGCCUUAAGACCUACAGCCACUCCAUCCUGAAAUCAGACCCAAUUCAACCUGACCUCUUGCAUCAUACUUGAAUAGAUGUCACAUCGAACUCAACAUUUUAAGCGCUUCCCUUGUUUUAGGUAAGGUUUGAAACCCAUUUAACCCUCACCACCACCACCUCUCUAUGCAACAGGUGCUAUUAUUAUCCCAUCGCCCUGAUGGGGAAACUGAGACACCGGGGCAUUGAAGCAACUUGCCUGCGGUCACACAGCUAGGGAGUGGUGAAGCUGAGGUCCAGACCAGGCAGCCUGGUUCCUGAGUUUGAAAACUGAACCAUUAUUUCUGUUGCUCUAAGACCAGCAGGAGUGUUUGUCUGUUUUCUUCAUUCCGGCACCUAAAACAGUUUCUUAUUCAUCACAGACACUCAAUGAAAAUUUGUUGAAUGAGCACAGAUGACUGAAUAGGGGAGUGUGCAGUGUCUCCCACGUGGGAACUCUCACAGCAAGUGUUCAGCGGCAUAAGCUGGCAGAUCUCUGGUUCUCGGGGCAUUAGGACCCCCUGAAGGGCCUGGUAAAAGCCAGAUGGCCGCCCCACCCCCAGAGCUUCCCAUCCAGCAGGUCAGCCCUGAGAUGUGCUUUUCUAAAAGUUGCCUGGUGCUGCUGGCGGGGUGGGGGACCCCGUUUUGAGAAGCACUGGCCAAGAGUAAAACCCCGUCACACUUUUGCAGCAGGAAUGGUGCUGGCAGGGGUCAAUGUCCCCUGGGCCCCCAAAGUCAAGACCGAGGCCAGCCCCAGACUCACACCCUCCUGUUUGUGAGCACGUCGCCAGCCCCAGGCAGGCCUCUUUCCAACAGCCUCAGCAGGUCUGAGUCCUUUUAGCACCGAGUCACAACCGGAACAGCAGAUGCAGCGUGAAGGUUGAUAUGUCUGUGCAUUUUUGCUAAGACAGUGUAUAAAUGGCCCUUAAAAAAAGCCUUGGGUUCUUCAAAAUUCCAUAAUAAAAAUUAUCAGCCUUAUAGGAAAAUAAGGUUAAAGGAGACCACUCAAAAUCUACAGUGACCGGAAAGCCAAAGAAACCAUAAAAAUUAGUAAUACGAGCACCCACAGGGCAUUCAGCCCUACUUCACUGGUAUUUGCACCCAGCAGCAUAAGCCACCCAUUUUUUGCUGCCUUGAAUUGGGGUGUGUACUUCCUCCACCAAGAUUAGGUUCCGGAGGCCAUUUCUUAUCCACAUUAAAAAUCUACUCCAGGUGUAGCCUUCUUUGUUAAUCCACUAUUUUAAUUCAGGGGAUUAGCUCCACUCACAGCUUUCCCAGAUAACCUCUCAGUAAUCUGGAAAGUUAGCAGUUCUAGUAGCUUCUAAGCCAACCACUUUGCUGUAAAGAAAGGCACUUUUGCAAAUGGUCAGCUUUAAUCUGAAGGUCUGCAUGGAUCGCGUGGGCUUCUUUUUAAUUGUGCGAAAGUUGCCCCCAUCGCUUCAACACUGUGACGCGCUGAAAGCAAAUCUCACAAAGCAACAUGCACCCUCCACCCACCCUUGCGUUGUAACAGACAGGACUAGUUGCCAGGAAGAUGGGAUUUGAACCCAGGAGCUGGCUGACUGCAAAGUCUGCACUGUCUCCUCUGUCUUCAGCCUCUGUUUGAUGAUGAAUGUGCAAAAGCAACACCAACGCCUGUGCUGCUGUGGCCACGGAGGAGCAUCUCUGCCUUGGAUGGGCUCUCGAGGGCCUGGCGUGCGUCCUGCCCUUUGGCCCCCCUGCAGCACCUGCAUGGUGCCCCGACCAGGUUUUAUGAAUGGAACUGGAUUGGAGUCGGGAGUCAGAAAACCAGUCACACAUGGAAGUGACUCCUUUGGGAGUGACAUUUUUGACACUGUGUCUGUGGCUGACUUUCCCGGGGUGAGUUCUGGAAAUUACUUCCGUGUUCACAGCCGAGGAAAGCAUGCCAUGGCAACCGCCACAUGAAUGAUGAGCUGGGGCCAGGGUGCUUCCUGGGAUUCAGCCACGCUGCAGAGUUCAUGGAACACGUGUUGUCUUGGAACACUGUAUGUGCGUGUGUGCAGGAGAGUGACCGUGGGGACCCUGGGAUCAGGGCACGGAGGAGACAGCAGUCUGACCGAGGGUGGCUGGAGGGCGGUCUCCACCAUGGGCACCGCAGAGGGGACAGACGGGGCUGAGCAGCCCCAGUGGCAGGAUGCCAACCCUGCCUACAGUGGUGGGUGUCUGUGCAAUGACCUUAGCAUCCAGUCUUGCCCGGGAUUCUGAAGUUGAGACUUCAGGUUCGUGGACUCUCCACCAAACCCCGAGAGCCUCCAGAUCAAACCUUUUCUCCAUCAAUUAAUCAAUGUCGUGUUUGCUUUACCUGGUGAUUUGAAGCAGUGAGUGGUCUGGGCUGAGAGUCAGACAAAGUCCAGCCCCCAGCCUGCCAGCCAUUCAUUUGCACGUGACCCUGGGCUCUCGGGGCCUCUUGUGACUUCACAGCAUCCUGGGAGCCUAAGGUGAGAUGAGGAAUUCUAGAAGGGUGCUGAGCACAUGGUCCACCCUUGCGGAGGCAUAAAAAGGUAGCUCACAACAGCAGGCUUCUGGGCAUUUUUGUGGUCGGAGUGACAAGAUACGCUUUGAAAGCAGAGAAUCGUCCUGCACACUUUUCACUGUGAAAUGUGGUGAAAUAGUAUAAUCUACAGUUCUGUCUCUCCCUUCCAUGGGCUGUGUGUUCAAAAGCUGCUUAUUGGGGGCGUGUGGGGAGGGGGAGGGAUAUUUGGGUGUCCUUCUCUCAAUCUCUGGUCAUAAAAUCUAUCAGGAAAGUGGAAGGAACUUCCCACUGUGGCUCAGCGGGUUAAGCACCCACUGUUGUCUCUGUGAGGAUGCGGGUUUGAUGACUGGCUUCGCUCGGCGGGUUAAGGAUCUGGCGUUGCCGUGGCUCUGGUGUAGGCCUUGGCUGUAGCUUCACUUCAACCCCUAGCCAGGGAACUUCUGUGUGCUGCAGGUGCAGCUGU
rnacentral:lncRNA from 1 species